GGCAGCCGGCGCCGCCGUGGCGGCGGCGGCGGCGCGGACGCUGGCGGAGGAGCUCCGCCGGCUGGUGACGACGACGACACCCGCACGGGUCGGCUGCCGGUGGUGGAUAGCCGCGGCGCCGGUGCCGCUGCUCAGGCGGCUGCAGGAGGAGAGCGUGGCCAUCGAUCCGUUCGCCGCCGUCGUCGUCCUUGAUCGAUCGAUUGAUUGGCGCUGCUGCUUGCAACUAGCUAGCUAAGCUUGUUGCC
rnacentral:lncRNA from 1 species